AUCCAUCCAUUUUCUUCCACUCAUUCCAUGCAAUUCAGGGCUAGAGAGUAUCCUAGCGGUCAUAGGGAAAAAGGUGUGGUACCCCCUGGACAGGUUGCCAGACUAUUAAAGACUACAAUCAAACCUCCAGCCACUUUAGAGUUGCAUAGAGAAGCAGCACAGGCACAUGCAAACUCAACAUAAAACUGUCCCAGUGGGUAUAUUUGAACCCAGGAUCUUUUUUUUGCAAUGAGGCAACAGAGCUAACCAUCACACCAAGGAGCUAAAGACCAUAGUCAGAAAUGUAUAAAACUCAACAAAAAGGAAUGUAGAUUGCAUCAAGACAUGGAAACCUGCAUUAAGCCAGGGUGGUGAAAGAAAACGUACCAUGUGUCAGGUCUCACUCUAAUUACUGAAAAAGUAAUUGUUGGAGGAACGAUAAACAGAAAACUGAAGGAAUCGAAAUCUAGGAAACCCCAGUGGUGAUUCAGAGAACAUAAAUCAGAUUCUCAAAUUCAUAAUAAAUAGGGCUAGAUUACGUUAACGAUAUUACAGUUAUUUUAGUUUUUGACAGUCCUGAAAGUUAUGUACAUAUAAAAAUAAAAAAAAAGAAACCUUUACUGCCCUCGUCUGCCCACAGUCCACUGUACAUAUACCUCCUUACACGUUUCUAUGACUAUUCUCUCCUCUCACUGCCUCUGCCGUCUGCAUCACCAGCUUAUUCUUUAUUUGGAUGAUGAGGUGGCAUAUUUGUCUGUUGAUGCUCCUAACACCCUCCCUGCUAGUCUCUGUGGGCACUUGAAAAGCAGUGCGGCAAGCAUCUGCGAAACCCCCAAAUCUCUCGCACUUCAUCCUCUCAUGAGGGAAUCUACCUGGCAGCAAGAAAGCAAGCUUAUCUGUGUAUGAAAUGCUAAUGUGAAUAGCCUCAGCCCUACUUUGUGGAUGAGAGCACAGACACCCUCCUUGUUGUAAAACCCACCUGCUCUCUGUGUUUUAGCAUGUGUGAAACAGUGAAGCCUGCCAAACUCCAGUAGCUUCAGCUUGAAUUUAGACUCCUCAGACAUGAAGAGAACCGAGUGCUGUAGGUGAUAUGAAUAUGUUUCCAGUCUGAAUCCACCUUGUGCCUUUUUCUCUUGUUCUGUUU
ensembl:lncRNA